rnacentral:rRNA from 1 species
AGAGUUUGAUCCUGGCUCAGGAUGAACGCUGGCGGCGUGCCUAAUACAUGCAAGUCGAGCGAACGGACGAGAAGCUUGCUUCUCUGAUGUUAGCGGCGGACGGGUGAGUAACACGUGGAUAACCUACCUAUAAGACUGGGAUAACUUCGGGAAACCGGAGCUAAUACCGGAUAAUAUUUUGAACCGCAUGGUUCAAAAGUGAAAGACGGUCUUGCUGUCACUUAUAGAUGGAUCCGCGCUGCAUUAGCUAGUUGGUAAGGUAACGGCUUACCAAGGCAACGAUGCAUAGCCGACCUGAGAGGGUGAUCGGCCACACUGGAACUGAGACACGGUCCAGACUCCUACGGGAGGCAGCAGUAGGGAAUCUUCCGCAAUGGGCGAAAGCCUGACGGAGCAACGCCGCGUGAGUGAUGAAGGUCUUUGGAUUGUAAAACUCUGUUAUUAGGGAAGAACAUAUGUGUAAGUAACUGUGCACAUCUUGACGGUACCUAAUCAGAAAGCCACGGCUAACUACGUGCCAGCAGCCGCGGUAAUACGUAGGUGGCAAGCGUUAUCCGGAAUUAUUGGGCGUAAAGCGCGCGUAGGCGGUUUUUUAAGUCUGAUGUGAAAGCCCACGGCUCAACCGUGGAGGGUCAUUGGAAACUGGAAAACUUGAGUGCAGAAGAGGAAAGUGGAAUUCCAUGUGUAGCGGUGAAAUGCGCAGAGAUAUGGAGGAACACCAGUGGCGAAGGCGACUUUCUGGUCUGUAACUGACGCUGAUGUGCGAAAGCGUGGGGAUCAAACAGGAUUAGAUACCCUGGUAGUCCACGCCGUAAACGAUGAGUGCUAAGUGUUAGGGGGUUUCCGCCCCUUAGUGCUGCAGCUAACGCAUUAAGCACUCCGCCUGGGGAGUACGACCGCAAGGUUGAAACUCAAAGGAAUUGACGGGGACCCGCACAAGCGGUGGAGCAUGUGGUUUAAUUCGAAGCAACGCGAAGAACCUUACCAAAUCUUGACAUCCUUUGACAACUCUAGAGAUAGAGCCUUCCCCUUCGGGGGACAAAGUGACAGGUGGUGCAUGGUUGUCGUCAGCUCGUGUCGUGAGAUGUUGGGUUAAGUCCCGCAACGAGCGCAACCCUUAAGCUUAGUUGCCAUCAUUAAGUUGGGCACUCUAAGUUGACUGCCGGUGACAAACCGGAGGAAGGUGGGGAUGACGUCAAAUCAUCAUGCCCCUUAUGAUUUGGGCUACACACGUGCUACAAUGGACAAUACAAAGGGCAGCGAAACCGCGAGGUCAAGCAAAUCCCAUAAAGUUGUUCUCAGUUCGGAUUGUAGUCUGCAACUCGACUACAUGAAGCUGGAAUCGCUAGUAAUCGUAGAUCAGCAUGCUACGGUGAAUACGUUCCCGGGUCUUGUACACACCGCCCGUCACACCACGAGAGUUUGUAACACCCGAAGCCGGUGGAGUAACCUUUUAGGAGCUAGCCGUCGAAGGUGGGACAAAUGAUUGGGGUGAAGUCGUAACAAGGUAGCCGUAUCGGAAGGUGCGGCUG